ACGGGAGGCAGCAGUGGGGAAUAUUGGGCAAUGGGGGAAACCCUGACCUAGCAACGCCGCGUGAAGGAAGAAGGCCCUCGGGUUGUAAACUUCUUUUACCAGGGACGAUAAUGACGGUACCUGGAGAAAAAGCAACGGCUAACUACGUGCCAGCAGCCGCGGUAAUACGUAGGUUGCAAGCGUUGUCCGGAUUUACUGGGUGUAAAGGGCGUGUAGGCGGAACUGCAAGUUAGAUGUGAAAUCCCGGGGCUCAACCCCGGAACUGCAUUUGAAACUGUAGUCCUUGAGUAUCGGAGAGGCAAGCGGAAUUCCUAGUGUAGCGGUGAAAUGCGUAGAUAUUAGGAGGAACACCAGUGGCGAAGGCGGCUUGCUGGACGACAACUGACGCUGAGGCGCGAAAGCGUGGGGAGCAAACAGGAUUAGAUACCCUGGUA
rnacentral:rRNA from 1 species